CCCCCUGGCGCAGCCCCGCUCGCACCGUCAAGGAAGAAGUAGAGUCGCGCCACUGGGCGCUGGUCGUGCAGGACUGAGCAAGAAAAGGUCCCGCUGUGCGUGGGCUGCACCGGCCGGAUCCGCGCCAGGCCCCGCCCCUCACCUGGGCAGUCCAGCGGGAGGUUGCAGGCCUGGGAGUAGCACCCGAAGCAGACGAAGCGCCGCGCGACGUCCUGGAAUCCUGUGGGCCGGAAGCGCUGCCCCUGGGCUCCGUCUACGUUCCCCAGCCCGGGUCCCUUUGGCCAACUUAAGCUUGGACUGGAUGGCUGGAGCUCCGGCAGUCAUGGAGAACCAUGAAGACAAGGGCUGCAUCCUGGGAUGGUAAAGCAGGUAGCCAGACGGGGUUUGGGUCCCCAAGAAGAUGAAAUGGUGCUGCCAUACGGAAGUGCCUACCUCCAGAUUCCUACGUGGGAGAAAUAAACUUCUAGCUUGCUUAAGCUGCUA